AGUGAACGCUGGCGGCGUGCCUAAUACAUGCAAGUCGAACGGACAAGUAAGAGCUUGCUCUUAUGAGUUAGUGGCGCACGGGUGAGUAAUGUAUAGCUAAUCUGCCCUACACUAGAGGACAACAGUUGGAAACGACUGCUAAUACUCUAUACUCCUGUCUUACAUAAGUUAGAUAGGGAAAGUUUUUCGGUGUAGGAUGAGGCUAUAUUGUAUCAGCUAGUUGGUGAGGUAAUGGCUCACCAAGGCUAUGACGCAUAACUGGUCUGAGAGGAUGAUCAGUCACACUGGAACUGAGACACGGUCCAGACUCCUACGGGAGGCAGCAGUAGGGAAUAUUGCUCAAUGGGGGAAACCCUGAAGCAGCAACGCCGCGUGGAGGAUGACACUUUUCGGAGCGUAAACUCCUUUUGUUAGGGAAGAACAAUGACGGUACCUAACGAAUAAGCACCGGCUAACUCCGUGCCAGCAGCCGCAGUAAUACGGAGGGUGCAAGCGUUACUCGGAAUCACUGGGCGUAAAGGACGCGUAAGCGGAUUAUCAAGUCUCUUGUGAAAUCCUAUGGCUUAACCAUAGAACUGCUUGGGAAACUGAUAAUCUAGAGUGAGGGAGAGGCAGAUGGAAUUGGUGGUGUAGGGUAAAAUCCGUAGAGAUCACCAGAAUACUCAUUGCGAAGCGAUCUGCUGGAACUCAACUGACGCUAAUGCGUGAGAGCGUGCGGAGCAAACAGGAUGAGAUACCCUGGUAGUUCCACGUCGAACUUCACCAGUGGAUAUCAUGCUUAUCAUACUGUCGACUUCGAAGGGAGGCUCCUGGUAUCCAGCUUAUCGUCCGUAGUGUACGGUAACCUAACUUUGUUCCAUAGGGGAGGUUACUUACCGACCUACGCUAGGCUGCCGUCGUG
rnacentral:rRNA from 1 species